ACUUGUACAUUGUUUUUUGAAGUAUAUUUGGGUUUUGUUGAUUAGUUUUUGAGAUUAAAGUUGAGUUAUUUAUUUAUUUAUGUUUUGAAUGGUUUAGAGUGAGAAAGAUGAGAAAUUGUGAUGUGGGUUUUGCUUGUUUUUGUUGGUUUUAGUGUUUUGUGUUGUUUGUUAGGAGAUUCAUGAAUUUGAACCUGAAUCAGGAAUUGGUAGAAGGAGGUUUUGCUUGUUUGUUUGUUUGAUUGAUGUGUGUAUAAUGGGGCAUUGCAAGCACUUGCAUUUGCUGUUGUUUUUUGAUUGAGAUAUCAGAUGUUGUGCUUAGGAAAACUAAGACUUGUUUCCAAGCAAAAUAUGAGCUUGCUGGGUUUUCUUUUGGGAAAUAACUUGGUGUGUUAUUAUUUUAUAUUAAUUAACAUUUGUGUAGCUUACAGUGUGUUAAAAAAUGAUUGGCAGGGGAUGUGUUUUUAGCCUUCCUACUCCAAAUGAUCCAUUCAAUGACAGGAAUGUUUGGCAAGUUGUGAACCUGAAUUUCUUGUGUCCACACCGGAGAAACUUUUGGAGCUUGUUUCCCUGAAGGCUAUGGAUUUAUCAGGGUUCUCCUUUCUGGUUGUUGGUGGAGUGGAAUCUCUUUAUAAAGGCGGUUGUCUUGAUGCUCUUAAAUCCAUUAGGCAAUCUAUUUCUGUUUGUCCCCGGGCUGUGGUUUUCAACAAUUUCCUUUAGUGGUUCAUGCCUUCUGGCUUUACAGAAUCUUCUCCUGGGAUCACUUGUUGAUUGUCUCUCAAUCUGUCUAUUCCCAGUCAAAGUGAAUGCGUUGUGCAAACAACAAAUGUGUGCACUUCUGACGAAAUAAGACUUAUAAAGGGAAUCCAAGUUUUGAAUCAUGCUUGUGACAGCCAGCUCGCCUCUCAACCCUUAAAGGUGCUAUAUGUAGUUGGAAAUGAUAGCAACUCUUUCAAUUUAGUUAAGAUGCUCAAAAUCAAUGGUUAUACUGUCUCUACUGGCUCAAAUCACAAUAUUUCAGAUGAUGAUAACAGCAAAUGGGAUGUUAGAGGAUAGAAGGUAGACAAAAGUUUGAAUGGUACUACAGUAUAUAAAUGUUAGAAAUCAGGCUGUUAUGGAAUAAUGUAAUAAUAAUUACUACGGUGACACAUGUUAUAAAUACCAUCUAAUAAAACCAAGCUGAUUUUCUGCUAAGCUUCUCCUAUUCUGGUUUUAGACUUAAACUUCAAAUUGGGGUCGUGGAACAGAAUUGGGUAGCUUGAUUUUAUCCUGUUUGCUACCACUUCUAAGGUUGCUCUUCGGCACAAAGUUCUUCUAGUCUUGGGCUCUUAUAACUUAUUUUUGUUUGCUUUGUUCAGCCUGGAUAUGAAUGUCAGAAGGAAACCUCUGGUCUCCGUGAUCAAUGUGGAGCACAUCCUACUACUGAUUUAGCUUUCUACGAAACUGUAAUCUUUCCCAAUUUUGUUCAGUCAAUUGAUAAUUAUGUUCAAACCCUCACAAGAAUGGCCAGGCACACUAUCAAUGGCGUCUCCCAUAGCUUUUUAACCACAGAAGAUGCACCAAUAGCUGGACCACGUAUCAAAAUUCUUGAGCAAUGUGGGCAGGCAGUGCCUGAUGCCUUGAGAAACUUGCAUCUCACAUCAUCCAUGUUGGAAUCAUGAAGCUUCAAUUUUUGCUCAUCAUUACUUCAUCCCCAUUCUUUAUAGAUCCUAGAAUGUCUUCACCAGAAGCAACGAUUGCAUUGUCAGUACAAAGUUUCUAUUCUGGACGGGUCUCGCAAAUGGUGAUAAUUUAUAAUGUGCAACAUCCUCACAGUGGUUUUGAAGAUAAUAUAUAUAGAUGAGAGCCUGAGUUAUUUCUGGUUCCAUACAUGGUAUAGCAAGCCAGAAUGGCUGUGUUAGUGAAAAUUUGUGAACGUUUUAGUUUCUUUGAGUUGUCUUUCAUUCUCUUGGUGGUUACCUAACAGAAUGAUGUCACAGUUUUGUCUCCAGAAUAUAUACCACUAUCGUUUUUCACACUCAA